GUUAAAUGGUGUGUUAUUAUGGUGGAGGUCUUGUGUUUAAAUCCCUAUGUAGGAAAGGGUAUUAUUUUUUUGCUCAUAUUUCAGGAUAGAGUUGUGUAAUAGGGGGAUUUUGAGUAGUGGAUUUGUAGUGGGAAUUAGGGGAGAAGAUUAAGGUAUUUUGGGGGUUAUCGGGAUUUUAUUUUUUUUCCAUAACCGAAUUUUGAUUCUGUUGUCCAAAAAAAAUGUCGUCUAUUCAUCUCCCUCCCCUCUUGCCAAAAUUCUUUGAGUUUUUCCAUCUUUCUCUUCUUUUUCUUCUUCUUGAUUUUUCCCUAAUCCAUU
rnacentral:lncRNA from 1 species